GGUAGCUAAAAAUAGUUGUUGGGUUCAAUGUGGGGUCAGUCACUAAACGCACUUGGCUAAUUGUUGAGUCGUAAAUGCCACCAAAAAACAUGGCUUUACUUACUAACAACAACGCUCCCACACCCAAGAAAAUCAGGUGAAUGCCCAGAAUUGUAGUUAUUUUGUUGGCAUCAUCCCA
rnacentral:antisense_RNA from 1 species